AGGGUCGGGAAACCUCUGAACCACCUCCCGUGAUAGGGAUCGGGGCCUGGAACCAACCCCGUGAACGAGGAAUUCCCGGUAGGCGCGGGUCAUCAGCCCGCGUCGAUCACGUCCCUGCCCUUUGUACACACCGCCCGUCGCUACUACCGAUCCGGUGAGGUCCGACGAUUUCGCUUACGCGCGGCGGCGUUCCGCGCCGUCGUCGGCGCGUUCUCUGAUGGCCCCGAGAAGACGACCGAACUCGAUCGCUUAGAGGAAGUAAAAGUCGCACAUUGCCCUGGUGGUGAAGACAUCACUA
rnacentral:ncRNA from 1 species